GCUUGACUGUAUCUUGGAAUUGGGUUCGGGCUUUUCUUGCGCAGACUAGGUGGGAGGCUAUGAAGAUUUUCUUCUGGGAAAGUUGGAGCAAACAGUGAGAGACCACUCUGGAAAGGCUAGAAUCCUAAUGGGUGAUCCUUGAAUCAGGACACUUGACAGUUUCAGGUGGGCAGUUUUUCUGGGCGGAAGCCUCAUAAAAGGUAACUGAGGCGCGCAAAGGUCCCCUCAGUCUGGACGGAAAAUCAGACAUUGAGUGUAAAGCAAAAGGGGGCUUGACUGCAAGACCCACAAGUCGAGCAGGGGCGAAAGCUGGCCUUAGUGAUCGACGGUGCCGUGUGGAAGGGCCGUCGCUCAACGAAUAAAAGUUA
rnacentral:rRNA from 1 species